rnacentral:rRNA from 1 species
UGAGGAAUAUUGGUCAAUGGGGGCAACCCUGAACCAGCCAAGUCGCGUGAAGGAUGAAGGUCUUAUGGAUUGUAAACUUCUUUUAUACAGGAAUAAAUUGGGGGACGUGUCCCCUUUUGCAUGUACUGUAUGAAUAAGGAUCGGCUAACUCCGUGCCAGCAGCCGCGGUAAUACGGAGGAUCCGAGCGUUAUCCGGAUUUAUUAGGUUUAAAGGGUGCGCAGGCGGGAUGUUAAGUCGGCGGUGAAAUUUUGCAGCUCAACUGUAAAAGUGCCUUCGAUACUGGCCUCCUUGAGUGUGGAUGAAGUAGGCGGAAUUUGUGGUGUAGCGGUGAAAUGCUUAGAUAUCACGAGGAACUCCGAUUGCGCAGGCAGCUUACUAAGCCACAACUGACGCUCAUGCACGAAGGCGUGGGGAUCAAACA